UACAUAGGGUGCAACCGUUGCUCGGAAUUAUUGGGCGUAAAGCGCACGUAGGCGGUUUGGUAAGUCGGAUGUGAAAUCCCUCGGCUCAACUGAGGAAGUGCAUCCGAAACUGGCAGGCUUGAGUACUAAAGAGGGUCGCGGAAUUCCCGGUGUAGAGGUGAAAUUCGUAGAUAUCGGGAGGAACACCGGUGGCGAAGGCGGCGACCUGGACGGACACUGACGCUGAGACGCGAAAGCGUGGGGAGCAAACAGG
rnacentral:rRNA from 1 species